rnacentral:rRNA from 1 species
UACAGAGGUCUCAAGCGUUGUUCGGAUUCAUUGGGCGUAAAGGGUGCGUAGGCGGCGGGGCAAGUCUGAUGUGAAAUCCCGGGGCUCAACCCCGGAACUGCAUUGGAUACUGCCUUGCUUGAGUACUGGAGAGGGAACUGGAAUUUACGGUGUAGCAGUGAAAUGCGUAGAGAUCGAUAAGGAAGGCCAGUGGCGAAGGCGAGUUCCUGGACAGUGACUGACGCUGAGGCACGAAGGCCAGGGGAGCAAACGGG